UGAGAAUAUUCUCAGGAUAUG
rnacentral:siRNA from 1 species